rnacentral:rRNA from 1 species
AGGUUUGACAUUACUUUAGGAAUAAGCCACGGCUAACCUCGUGCCAGCAGCCGCGGUAAGACGAGGGUGGCAAGCGUUACCCGGAUUUACUGGGCGUAAAGCGUUCGUAGGUGGUCUUGAUAGUUUGUUGUUAAAUCCUAGGGCUUAACUUUAGGGCCGAAGCAAAUACUACAAAACUAGAGAAAAAGAGAGGUAAGCGGAACUCCUGGUGUAGCAAUGAAAUGCGUUGAUAUCAGGGGGAACACCAAAGGCGAAAGCAGCUUACUGGCUUUUUUCUGACACUGAGGAACGAAAGCGUGGGUAGCGAAGGGGAUUAGAUACCCCCGUAGUCCACGCCCUAAACGAUGGAUACUAGACACAGGGAGAGUCGACCCUUUCCGUGUCGAAGCUAACGCGUUAAGUAUCCCGCCUGGGGAGUACGGCCGCAAGGCUAAAACUCAAAAGAAUUGACGGGGACCCGCACAAGCGGUGGAGCAUGUGGUUUAAUUCGACAAUAAACGAAGAACCUUACCAAGGUUAGAAAUCCUACUGCAAGCCUUUAGAAAUAAAGGAAGCCUUCGAGGGUGUAGGACAGGUGCUGCAUGGCUGCCGUCAGCUCGUGCCGUGAGGUGUUCGGUUAAGUCCGGUAACGAGCGCAACCCUUGUCCUGUGUUAUAUUUCACACAGGAGACUGCCGGCGUAUAGUCGGAGGAAGGUGAGGAUGACGUCAAGUCCGCAUGGCCCUUGAUACCUUGGGCCACACACGUGCUACAAUGGGAAGAACAAAGGGAAGCUAAGCCGUAAGGUGGAGCAAAUCCCAUCAAAUCUUCUCUCAGUUCGGAUAGAGGUCUGCAAUUCGACCUCUUGAAGCUGGAAUCGCUAGUAACCGUGGCUCAGCUAUACCGCGGUGAUACGUUCUCGGGUCUUGACACACCGCCCGUCACGUCAAGCGAGUUG